UGCAAAUGAUGUGAAGAAAAUCUGAUUAGUCAGUGAUGACAUUUUCCCACCAAGAUCACUGAUGCA